rnacentral:rRNA from 1 species
UACGGAGGGUGCAAGCGUUGUCCGGAUUUAUUGGGUUUAAAGGGUGCGUAGGCGGCUUUUUAAGUCAGCGGUGAAAGACAACAGCUCAACUGUUGCAGUGCCAUUGAUACUGAAGAGCUUGAGUACAGAUGAGGUAGGCGGAAUUUAUGGUGUAGCGGUGAAAUGCGUAGAUAUCAUUUGGAACGCCCACGGUGAAAACAGCUGGCUGGGGAAGUGCUGACGCUGAGACACGAAAGCCAGGGGAGCGAACGGG